rnacentral:rRNA from 1 species
CGGGGAUAGCCUUGCGAAAGCAAGAUUAAUACCCGAUGUUCUCACUGUUCCGCAUGUUACGGUGAGCAAAGAAUUUCGGUAUGCGAUGGCGAUGCGUCCCAUUAGCUAGUUGGCGGGGUAACGGCCCACCAAGGCUCCGAUGGGUAGGGGUUCUGAGAGGAAGGUCCCCCACACUGGAACUGAGACACGGUCCAGACUCCUACGGGAGGCAGCAGUGAGGAAUAUUGGUCAAUGGACGCAAGUCUGAACCAGCCAAGUAGCGUGCAGGAUGACGGCCCUCCGGGUUGUAAACUGCUUUUAGUUGGGAAUAAAAGGGGGCUCGUGAGCCCCGUAUUGUAUGUACCAUCAGAAAAAGGACCGGCUAAUUCCGUGCCAGCAGCCGCGGUAAUACGGAAGGUCCGGGCGUUAUCCGGAUUUAUUGGGUUUAAAGGGAGCGUAGGCCGGCUUUUAAGUCAGCUGUGAAAGUCCGCGGCUCAACCGUGGAAUUGCAGUUGAAACUGGAGGCCUUGAGUGCACACAGGGAUGCCGGAAUUCAUGGUGUAGCGGUGAAAUGCUUAGAUAUCAUGAAGAACUCCGAUCGCGAAGGCAAGUGUCCGGGGUGCAACUGACGCUGAGGCUCGAAAGUGCGGGUAUCAAACAGGAUUAGAUACCCUGGUAGUCCGCACCGUAAAC